GACGAACGCUGGCGGCGUGCUUAACACAUGCAAGUCGAACGAAGUGGCGAACGGGUGAGUAACGCGUAAUCAACCUGCCCUUCAGAGGGGGACAACAGUUGGAAACGACUGCUAAUACCGCAUACUGAAGGAGGGGAUUGCGUCUGAUUAGCUAGGUGGAGGGGUAACGGCCCACCAAGGCGAUGAUCAGAAGCCGGUCUGGGAGGAGGAACGGCCACAUUGGGACUGAGACACUGCCCAGACGCCUACGGGAGGCAGCAGUGGGGAAUCUUCCGCAAUGGACGAAAGUCUGACGGAGCAACGCCGCGUGGGUGAUGACGGCCUUCGGGUUGGAAAGCUCUGUUAAUCGGGACGCGGUACCGGAAUAGAAAGCCACGGCUAACUACGUGCCAGCAGCCGCGGUAAUUC
rnacentral:rRNA from 1 species